ACGAUGUUCCGCUGCAAUGAUAUAGGAUAGUAGAUAUGCAAGAGCGUCUG
rfam:Bacillus niacini strain DSM 2923, whole genome shotgun sequence.